rnacentral:rRNA from 1 species
GACGAACGCUGGCGGCGUGCUUAACACAUGCAAGUCGAGCGAUGAAGCACCUGCGGGUGUGAAUUAGCGGCGAACGGGUGAGGAACACGUGAGAAAUCUGCCUUCAACACUGGGAUAACUCCGGGAAACCGGGGCUAAUACCGGAUAUGAAACCUGCGGGCAUCUGCGGGUUUGGAAAGUUUUUCGGUUGAAGAUGAUCUCGCGGCCUACCAGCUUGUUGGUGAGGUAAUGGCUCACCAAGGCGACGACGGGUAGCCGGCCUGAGAGGGCGACCGGCCAGACUGGGAGUGGGACGCGGCCCAGACUCCUACGGGGGGCGGCAGUGGGGAAUAUUGGGCAAUGGAGGAAACUCUGACCCAGCGACGCCGCGUGCGGGAUGAAGGCCUUCGGGUUGUAAACCGCUUUCAGCAGGGAAGAAGCGAAAGUGACGGUACCUGCAGAAGAAGCACCGGCUAACUAUGUGCCAGCCGCCGCCGUAA